CCAGGUCUUGACAUCUUCUGCCAAUCUUAGAGAUAAGACGUUCCCUUCGGGGACAGAAUGACAGGUGGUGCAUGGUUGUCGUCAGCUCGUGUCGUGAGAUGUUGGGUUAAGUCCCGCAACGAGCGCAACCCUUAUUAUCAGUUGCCAGCAUUCAGUUGGGCACUCUGGUGAGACUGCCGGUGACAAACCGGAGGAAGGUGGGGAUGACGUCAAAUCAUCAUGCCCCUUAUGACCUGGGCUACACACGUGCUACAAUGGACGGUACAACGAGUCGCGAAGUCGUGAGGCUAAGCUAAUCUCUUAAAGCCGUUCUCAGUUCGGAUUGUAGGCUGCAACUCGCCUACAUGAAGUUGGAAUCGCUAGUAAUCGCGGAUCAGCAUGCCGCGGUGAAUACGUUCCCGGGUUUUGUACACACCG
rnacentral:rRNA from 1 species